AUUGAACGCUGGCGGCAGGCCUAACACAUGCAAGUCGAACGGUAGCACAGAGGAGCUUGCUCCUUGGGUGACGAGUGGCGGACGGGUGAGUAAUGUCUGGGAAACUGCCCGAUGGAGGGGGAUAACUACUGGAAACGGUAGCUAAUACCGCAUAACGUCGCAAGACCAAAGAGGGGGACCUUCGGGCCUCUUGCCAUCGGAUGUACCCAGAUGGGAUUAGCUAGUAGGUGGGGUAACGGCUCACCUAGGCGACGAUCCCUAGCUGGUCUGAGAGGAUGACCAGCCACACUGGAACUGAGACACGGUCCAGACUCCUAGGGGAGGCAGCAGUGGGGAAUAUUGCACAAUGGGCGCAAGCCUGAUGCAGCCAUGCCGCGUGUAUGAAGAAGGCCUUCGGGUUGUAAAGUACUUCCAGCGAGGAGGAAGGUGUUGUGGUUAAUAACCGCAGCAAUUGACGUUACUCGCAGAAGAAGCACCGGCUAACUCCGUGCCAGCAGCCGCCGUAA
rnacentral:rRNA from 1 species